rnacentral:tRNA from 1 species
AGCGAGGUGGAGCAAUGGUAGCUUGUCAGGCUCAUAACCUGAAGGUUAUAGGUUCGAAUCCUAUCCUCGCUA